rnacentral:rRNA from 1 species
AUACGUAGGUGGCAAGCGUUGUCCGGAAUUAUUGGGCGUAAAGCGCAUGUAGGCGGUUUGGUAAGUCGGUCGUGAAAAUGCGGGGCUUAACGCCGUAUGGCGAUUGAAACUGCUGAACUUGAGUGCAGGAGAGGAAAGGGAAACUCCCAGUGUAGCGGUGAAAUGCGUAGAUAUUGGGAAGAACACCGGUGGCGAAGGCGCCUUUCUGGACUGUGUCUGACGCUCAGAUGCGAAAGCCAGGGUAGCGAACGGGAUUAGAUACCCCGGUAGUCCUGGCCGUAAACGAUGGGUACUAGGUGUGGGAGGUAUCGACUCCUUCCGUGCCGGAGUUAACGCAAUAAGUACCCCGCCUGGGGAGUACGGCCGCAAGGCUUAAACUCAAAUGAAUUGACGGGG